rnacentral:misc_RNA from 1 species
GGGGCCAUUACUGGCUCAAGCUGAUGCUGAGGGUUAUGUUAGAGUUCACAAACUUGAAUCUUGUUUGGAUGAAUCACAAGUUCCUGGGAAUAGUUUACUGGAGAUAAGCGACGAACAUGUCAGUUCCUCUAUGUGUUUGUGUAUAGACUGGAAUCCAUCAGCUACAUCCCUUGCUGUGGGGCUUUCAGAUGGAACAGUCUCGAUAAUUUCAUUCCUCGAGUCUCAGCUGAGCAUUUCCAGAGACUGGAAAGCGCAUGACUUUGAAGUUUGGGCUGCCUCUUAUGAUAUCCACCAACCACAGUUGGUGUAUACAGGUUCAGAUGACUGCAAAUUUAGUUGCUGGGAUUUGCGAGAUGAUCCCUCUACCAUAGCAUUCCAAAACAGAAAAGUUCACACAAUGGGAAUUUGCUGCAUUACUAAGAGCCCAAAUGACCCUUAUACCUUACUCACCGGUAGCUAUGAUGAACACCUAAGGGUAUGGGAUGUAAGAUCAACCGCAAAACCUGUACAUGAGACGUCAAUCUCCUUAGGUGGAGGGGUUUGGAG